UUGAGUAUUACAUUAGUGUAAAAUUAUUCAUUUGAGCAACUAUUUUGACAAUAUGUCAUAAGUGGCUUUUUUACUUAAUUUUAUAUCCAACGUGAUUUUUCUAAGUCCAGCGUUUUGUCCAACAUGGCGAGUUUAAAAAAUGUACGUAUCUCUCUCCUUCUCUCUAACUACUUCCUCUAUUGAAACGAUAAUGUCUCUCUCUAAAUGCUUUGUCAAAUCAUGACAUUUCUCUCUCCCCAAAAGCUUC
rnacentral:lncRNA from 1 species